UUCAUUGUGAGGAGAAAAGCUCACGGGGUGGAAACAAGGACACAUUCCCGCAGAGUUUUCAGAU
rnacentral:sRNA from 1 species